GAUGAACGCUGGCGGCGUGCCUAAUACAUGCAAGUCGAGCGAACGGACGAGAAGCUUUCUUCUCUGAUGUUAGCGGCGGACGGGUGAGUAACACGUGGAUAACCUACCUAUAAGACUGGGAUAAAUUCGGGAAACCGUAGCCAAUACCGGAUAAUAUUUUGAACAGCAUGGUUCAAAAGUGAAAGACGGUCUUGCUGUCACUUAUAGAUGGAUCCGCGCUGCAUUAGCUAGUUGGUAAGGUAACGGCUUACCAAGGCAACGAUGCAUAGCCGACCUGAGAGGGGGGUCGGCCACACUGGAACUGAGACACGGUCCAGACUCCUACGGGAGGCAGCAGUAGGGAAUCUUCCGCAAUGGGCGAAAGCCUGACGGAGCAACGCCGCGUGAGUGAUGAAGGUCUUCGGAUCGUAAAACUCUGUUAUUAGGGAAGAACAUAUGUGUAAGUAACUGUGCACAUCUUGACGGUACCUAAUCAGAAAGCCACGGCUAACUACGUG
rnacentral:rRNA from 1 species